UAACACAUGCAGCCGAGCGGUAGAGAUUCUUCGGAAUCUUGAGAGCGGCGCACGGGUGCGGAACACGUGUGCAACCUGCCUUUAUCUGGGGGAUAGCCUUUCGAAAGGGAGAUUAAUACCCCAUAAUAUAAUGAGUGGCAUCACUUAUUAUUGAAAACUCCGGUGGAUAGAGAUGGGCACGCGCAAGAUUAGAUAGUUGGUGAGGUAACGGCUCACCAAGUCAAUGAUCUUUAGGGGGCCUGAGAGGGUGAUCCCCCACACUGGUACUGAGACACGGACCAGACUCCUACGGGAGGCAGCAGUGAGGAAUAUUGGACAAUGGGUGAGAGCCUGAUCCAGCCAUCCCGCGUGAAGGACGACGGCCCUAUGGGUUGUAAACUUCUUUUGUACAGGGAUAAACCUUUCCACGUGUGGAAAGCUGAAGGUACUGUACGAAUAAGCACCGGCUAACUCCGUGCCAGCAGCCGCGGUAAUACGGAGGGUGCAAGCGUUAUCCGGAUUUAUUGGGUUUAAAGGGUCCGUAGGCGGAUCUGUAAGUCAGUGGUGAAAUCUCAUAGCUUAACUAUGAAACUGCCAUUGAUACUGCAGGUCUUGAGUAAGGUAGAAGUAGCUGGAAUAAGUAGUGUAGCGGUGAAAUGCAUAGAUAUUACUUAGAACACCAAUUGCGAAGGCAGGUUACUAUGUCUUAACUGACGCUGAUGGACGAAAGCGUGGGGAGCGAACAGGAUUAGAUACCCUGGUAGUCCACGCUGUAAACGAUGCUAACUCGUUUUUGGGUUUUCGGAUUCAGAGACUAAGCGAAAGUGAUAAGUUAGCCACCUGGGGAGUACGAACGCAAGUUUGAAACUCAAAGGAAUUGACGGGGGCCCGCACAAGCGGUGGAUUAUGUGGUUUAAUUCGAUGAUACGCGAGGAACCUUACCAAGACUUAAAUGGGAAUUGACAGAUUUAGAAAUAGAUCCUCCUUCGGGCAAUUUUCAAGGUGCUGCAUGGUGUCGUCAGCUC
rnacentral:rRNA from 1 species